rnacentral:rRNA from 1 species
UACGGAGGGUGCAAGCGUUAUCCGGAUUUACUGGGUUUAAAGGGUGCGUAGGCGGGCUUUUAAGUCAGCGGUGAAAGCUUCGGGCUUAACUCGAAAAUUGCCGUUGAUACUAUUAGUCUUGAAUUAAGUUGAGGUGGGCGGAAUAUGUCAUGUAGCGGUGAAAUGCUUAGAUAUGACAUAGAACACCAAUUGCGAAGGCAGCUCACUACACAAAGAUUGACACUGAGGCACGAAAGCGUGGGGAUCAAACAGG